UGCGAUAAGCGCCGGUAAGGUGAUAUGAACCGUUAUAACCGGCGAUUUCCGAAUGGGGAAACCCAGUGUGAUUCGUCACACUAUCAUUAACUGAAUCCAUAGGUUAAUGAGGCGAACCGGGGGAACUGAAACAUCUAAGUACCCCGAGGAAAAGAAAUCAACCGAGAUUCCCCCAGUAGCGGCGAGCGAACGGGGAGGAGCCCAGAGCCUGAAUCAGCAUGUGUGUUAGUGGAAGCGUCUGGAAAGGCGCGCGAUACAGGGUGACAGCCCCGUACACAAAAGCGCAUGUGCUGUGAGCUCGAUGAGUAGGGCGGGACACGUGGUAUCCUGUCUGAAUAUGGGGGGACCAUCCUCCAAGGCUAAAUACUCCUGACUGACCGAUAGUGAACCAGUACCGUGAGGGAAAGGCGAAAAGAACCCCGGCGAGGGGAGUGAAAAAGAACCUGAAACCGUGUACGUACAAGCAGUGGGAGCACCCUUUGGGGUGUGACUGCGUACCUUUUGUAUAAUGGGUCAGCGACUUAUAUUCUGUAGCAAGGUUAACCGUAUAGGGGAGCCGGAGGGAAACCGAGUCUUAAU
rnacentral:rRNA from 1 species